AUUCCAGCUCCAAUAGCGUAUACUAAAGUUGUUGCAGUUAAAAAGCUCGUAGUUGAAUUUCUAGGUGUGAAAGGCGGUCCUGCCUUCAGGGUUGUGUACCUCCCUUUCACGCCUAUCCUCGUAGUGAACAUGUAUUCUUUUAAUUAAGCGUAUAUGGGACCUGCGUCAUUUACUGUGAGCAAAAUAGAGUGUUCAAAGCAGGCUUAAGCCGUUGAAUAUAUUAGCAUGGAAUAAUAAGAUAUGACUUCUGUCUUUCUUGUUGGUUUCUAGAACUAAGUUAAUGAUUAAUAGGGAUAAUUGGGGGCAUUUGUAUUAACACGUCAGAGGUGGAAUUCUUGGAUUGUGUUACGACAAACUACUGCGAAAGCAUUUGCCAAGGAUGUUUUCAUUA
rnacentral:rRNA from 1 species